rnacentral:rRNA from 1 species
UACAGAGGUCUCAAGCGUUGUUCGGAUUCAUUGGGCGUAAAGGGUGCGUAGGUGGCAUGGUAAGUCGGAUGUGAAAUCCCGGGGCUCAACCCCGGAACUGCAUUCGAUACUGCUGCGCUAGAGUACUGGAGAGGAGAUUGGAAUUUACGGUGUAGCAGUGAAAAGCGUAGAGAUCGUAAGGAAGACCAGUGGCGAAGGCGACUUACUGGACACAUAUUGACGCUGAGGUGCGAAAGCGUGGGGAGCAAACAGG